GCUGGCCUAGUGGUUAGAGCGUCCCCCUCAGAUGUAGGAGGUCGUGGGUUCGAUCCCCGGUCGAGUCA